CACCUGGGCAACAACCUUUGUGUUUGUAGCUAUAUAAGCCCUUUGUGUCCCAAGAGUAAGACUUGAACAGAAUUUUUUAUCUUGUCUCCUACAUUUGUAUCUCCUGAUCCCAAUUUGUCAUUGAUGUUCCCUUCCCUUGAGAACCCUGUUUUUUAAGUCCUGCAGGUCGGGGCAAAGGUGAAGUAGAGAGAUGGAAGGGAAUAGAGAAUUGUCUGAAGUUACACCCAUGUGGCUGCCUAAGCAUUAACUCAAAAAGGACACCAAUAGACAUGCCAGAGUGGAUGGAAGAAGAUCUAAAAGGCCUUACGUCUACACAAAGAUCUACUGACAAGUAAAGAAUGCUUAAACACCAGUUGAUUACUGUUUAUAAUUAAAGCUAAUUGAAAGUGAACACUG